AUUGAACGCUGGCGGCAGGCCUAACACAUGCGAGUCGAACGGUAACAGGAAGAAGCUUGCUUCUUUGCUGACGAGUGGCGGACGGGUGAGUAAUGUCUGGGAAACUGCCUGAUGGAGGGGGAUAACUACUGGAAACGGUAGCUAAUACCGCAUAACGUCGCAAGACCAAAGAGGGGGACCUUCGGGCCUCUUGCCAUCGGAUGUGCCCAGAUGGGAUUAGCUAGUAGGUGGGGUAACGGCUCACCUAGGCGACGAUCCCUAGCUGGUCUGAGAGGAUGACCAGCCACACUGGAACUGAGACACGGUCCAGACUCCUACGGGAGGCAGCAGUGGGGAAUAUUGCACAAUGGGCGCAAGCCUGAUGCAGCCAUGCCGCGUGUAUGAAGAAGGCCUUCGGGUUGUAAAGUACUUUCAGCGGGGAGGAAGGGAGUAAGGUUAAUACCUUUGCUCAUUGACGUUACCCGCAGAAGAAGCACCGGCUAACUCCGUG
rnacentral:rRNA from 1 species